rnacentral:lncRNA from 1 species
GAACCAUUUUGAAUCCUGCCCCACCUGGAUCCUGGCCAGGUUUCUUAAAUCAGACUCCCUUGAGCCAGCCCUUUUUCCAGUCAUUCUGCAUCCAUCCAGAGACAAACCAAAAGCAAUUGUUCAUUAGACUGGGAAUAUUGUGUAUUCUCUCUGCAGAACAGAGAACACACAAGGAAGAAAAAUAAGAGCACUGUGCUGUACUGUGAAGUAAUUUGCUUUCCUGUGUCCUUGACAUUGGAAAGUACUGCUGUGGUCCUCACUCCCCAAGUCCAUUUGUAUCAUUGAAAGAAAUCAAGCCAGUCCUUUGUGUCUUACGAAUUUGUGGAGCUCUUUUGAGUAAAACAAGACAGUAUAAGGAUGGCCACAUGAGGAAAAGACAGCUAAAGACACAGCAGAAGCCUUUAUUUACAGCAAAGUCCUGGCUGAAGCUGUAGUGAAAAGAUAUUAUCAAAUUUAUAUUGGAGUAAAUCCACAAAUAAGAACUUCG